rnacentral:sRNA from 1 species
UAGGAGUUCACCCCCUGCGCUUUACCAGC